rnacentral:rRNA from 1 species
AUGGUUGUGCCCCCUCCCUUGCUCAAAUCAAUCGUGGUCACUCCAUCCACGCACAUUCACUCCUCCGGCGCCAUUGAUGAGGAGGGAUGGAUGACCUAUCAAUCCCGCAAGAGCAGGCGCGCAAGCAAAGAUCCGCUGGUCGGCGCGGGGAGCCAGCGCAGGGGCAAAAGGUCCUCCCACGGGCACGAGGCCUUCUUAAGCAGAUUCAAAGGCCUUUGUUUUCAUUGCCUCAGACCCCACCAUCGCCGGAUAGAUUGUAGAGACCCACUGCACUGCAUCAUUUGCAAGAAGGCCGGGCAUUUCGGCAGAGAGUGCAUGCUGAACCCGAAGAAUCGACGGGGGGCGGCACGGUGA